CUUACACAUGCAAUGUCUCCGAACACCCGUGAAAACGCCCUUUUUUCCCCAUCUAGGGACAAGGAGCUGAUAUCAGGCACAACAAACUGCCCAAAACAUCUAGCUAUGCCACACCCCCAAGGGCCCUCAGCAGUGAUUAACAUUAAAAAUAAAGGCCAGUUGGAUUUAGCCAAAGAAAAUCAAAGCCGGCAAAUCUGGUGCCAGCCGCCGGGGUUACACCAAGUGGUUCAAAUUGAUUCCACCCGGCGUAAAGCGUGAUUAAAGGAAACAAAUNGCUGGGGUUAAACUUAAACUAAGCUGUAGCACGCUUGUCCACAAGAAAUUUCAUACCCCUAAAGACACCCCAAUUAAUCAAUUUGAACUCACGACACCUAGGGCACAAACUGGGAUUAAAUACCCCACUAUGCCUAGAUAUAAACUUUAACUUACCCCCCCCCCGCCCGGGAACUACGAGCAAAGCUUAAAACCCAAAGGACUUGACGGUACCCCACAUCCCCCUAGAGGAGCCUGUCCUUCAAUCGAUACCCCACGUUUAACCUCACCAUUUUUAGCCUCUCAGCCUGUAUACUUCCGUCGUCAGCCCACCACAUGAGUGAAACUAAGUGAGCAUAAUGUCCCCCUUACAACACGUCAGGUCAAAGUGCAGCAAACAAAAUGGCCAGAGAUGGGCUACACUCUCUACAAUAGAAAACACGAAAAAUUAUAUGAAAAUAUAAUUAGAAGGCGGAUUUAGCAGUAAGGGAGAAUUAGAAUAUCCCCCUUAACUCGGCACUGGGGUGUGUACACACCGCCCGUCACCCUCUUCAAGUCAACCAUAAUAGUCUCUAACACAUUAUCUGUAAAAGAAGAGGUAAGUCGUAACAUGGUAAGUAUACCGGAAGGUGUGCUUGGAAU
rnacentral:ncRNA from 1 species